rnacentral:rRNA from 1 species
CAGCCGCCGCGGUAAUACGUAGGGGGCGAGCGUUACCCGGAUUCACUGGGCGUAAAGGGGGUGUAGGCGGCUCGGUAAGUCGGGUGUGAAAUCCCACGGCUCAACCGUGGAAUUGCGCCCGAAACUGCCGAGCUUGGGGCCGGUAGAGGGAGACGGAACUGCCGGUGUAGGGGUGAAAUCCGUAGAUAUCGGCAGGAACGCCGGUGGGGAAGCCGGUCUCCUGGGCCGCGCCCGACGCGGAGGCCCGAAAGCUAGGGGAGCAAACCGGAUUAGAUACCCGGGUAGUCCUAGCCGUAAACGAUGCCCACUAGGUGUGGGGGAGUAUUUCCUCCGUGCUGUAGCUAACGCGUUAAGUGGGCCGCCUGGGGAGUACGCCCGCAAGGGUGAAACUUAAAGGAAUUGGCGGG